GGAGAGAUGACAGAGCGGCCGAAUGUGCUUGAUUCGAAAUCAAGUGAACCCUCGCGGGUUCCGAGGGUUCAAAUCCCUCUCUCUCCGCCA
rnacentral:tRNA from 1 species